rnacentral:rRNA from 1 species
AGGGAAUAUUGCGCAAUGGAGGAAACUCUGACGCAGCGACGCCGCGUGAGCGAUGAAGGUCUUCGGAUCGUAAAGCUCUGUCCUCAGGGAAGAAGAAAGUGACGGUUCCUGAGGAGGAAGCCCCGGCUAACUACGUGCCAGCAGCCGCGGUAAUACGUAGGGGGCAAGCGUUGUCCGGAAUUAUUGGGCGUAAAGGGUGCGUAGGCGGCUUUUUAAGUCAGAUGUGAAAGACCACAGCUUAACUGUGGGGUUGCAUUUGAAACUGGAGAGCUUGAGUAUCGGAGAGGGUAGUGGAAUUCCUGGAGUAGCGGUGAAAUGCGUAGAUAUCAGGAGGAACACCAGUGGCGAAGGCGACUACCUGGACGAAAACUGACGCUGAGGCACGAAAGCUAGGGGAGCAAAC